ACUCCUACGGGAGGCAGCAGUGGGGAAUAUUGCACAAUGGGCGAAAGCCUGAUGCAGCAACGCCGCGUGAGUGAUGAAGGCCUUCGGGUUGUAAAGCUCUGUCUUUUGGGACGAUAAUGACGGUACCAAAGGAGGAAGCCACGGCUAACUACGUGCCAGCAGCCGCGGUAAUACGUAGGUGGCAAGCGUUGUCCGGAUUUACUGGGCGUAAAGGAUGCGUAGGUGGAUAUUUAAGUGGGAUGUGAAAUACCCGGGCUCAACUUGGGUGCUGCAUUCCAAACUGGAUAUCUAGAGUGCAGGAGAGGUAAGUGGAAUUCCUAGUGUAGCGGUGAAAUGCGUAGAGAUUAGGAAGAACACCAGUGGCGAAGGCGACUUACUGGACUGUAACUGACACUGAGGCAUGAAAGCGUGGGGAGCAAACAGGAUUAGAUACCCUGGUAGUC
rnacentral:rRNA from 1 species